UCUAACAGUUAUUGGUCUAUUCGGUUGUAUACAUGUUAAAAAGUUUUUUUUUGGGCUAAUUAACAUAAAAAUUAUCAUACAUCUAUCUACCCAGAUAGUGGCUAUGUAAUAGGUCAAGUAGAUCAAAAAUAUUAGCAAUAGUAAAUAUUAAAGUAUUGUAACAGAUUUCCAAAAUCUGUCGUUGCUGAAACUCUACCCUGAGUUCGAUCACUGCCCCACAAGACGGAGCUAAAGCUGAAACGAAAUACAUAGCUCGCGAAUGCGAAUGCGAAAGCAUGCGCUCGACUGCGUUUAUUUCGAGCAACUACAUAAAUGCGCUUUUGAAUGCGUUGAAAGCUGUGUACAAUGUGAUACACAUACUCAAUUUUUAUUUGCGAGUUUGAAAACGAACUAAUUAACAUGGACAAGGAUAUUAAAUUUUUAGUGAUUUUUAUUAGCAGUGUUCAUAAAAUACCUUGAAUUAAGCAAAGAAAGGAAAAUUUAAACUGUCUACCUAGUUCAUUAAAAAUUCAUCACAACUUAUCUUUAAAAAUUAAAAACUAAUAAAUAUUAUAUUUCACAAAAAUACUUAUAUUUUAGCGAAGAAAACGGGCUUAAAUAAUUAAAACACGCAAGAUAGUAAGUAACAUAAUAUGGGUUGCUAUUCUCAAGAAUGUGAAGGUUGCUGUGUUAGCGCAUGAAAGUUGAAAAUUCGGAGAUUUGGUUGCGAAAACAUGCGAAAGCUAUGUAGCUCAUCUCAUAAGAACAUGUGUAUUCAACUCAACUGUCAAACGUUCGCAUUCGCAUUCGCGAGCUAUGUAGUUUAGCUCUAACUCAUACACCACUACACAUGCAAAGUUUUUCAGCUUUUACCAACACAUACGAAAUAGUAACUUUUUGUAGUUAAAUGGGACGCACACCUGGUGCGUACAUGCAAAACUAAAAAGAGAAGCAGAACAAGGAUUAUGCCACUUUAGGUAUAUGGAUAUUUGCAAACUUCGGAAGAAAAACUAAAGCUUAAGCUGGAUACCACCCAUAUACUCCCAUAUAGGAAGGUAGCUAUACUUGAUAUGGGUGCUGGGAAUCCUACCAUCAGUUUUUCAUGGCAUACAACGGCAAUCGCUCAUCAAUCGUACAAUACAAAUUCGAAUUAGAAUUCGACGUAUGGUUGAAGCAGCACUCGUAGUUCUUUGUGUUAGGGAGUAACAAAAAUCAUGCACCUACAAAUACAACGCAAAAUAUGCAUCAACAACAGGAAUUAUUGAAACGAAUUUAAUUGCAAAACAAACACAAAACAAUAAUUUUGAUAUUCUUAUUAUUUAACAGAAUUUGGUGGAUAAUCGCCACAUGGUGUAACAAGUGCUGCAGCAACAACAAGUAAUACACAUUCAAAUUCACAACAAAAGUCAAAAUCGCACAACGCAACCGGCAAUUACCAAGUCAUCGGAUGAUGUACAACAAAUUACAUCGGACUUUUGGAGUAGCAGUUUCACUACUUAUUUCCGACGUGCUAAACACAGAGCCUCCUAUAUUGCCCUUGGAUUAAUACAAUGGAUAGUUAACAUAAUAACAGAGCUCGAAAAACGCAGAUGUUGUUUAUCCUGAUUCUGAUUUGAUUAUGCUGAACUUACAAUUUAUCAUUUUCACUAUUAUGAUUGUUAAUUUAUAAAUUUUGAACGUUCGCAAAAGCACUCAAUUUAUUAAUCUAAAUAUGAAAUAUUGUUAAAUUAGCAUCUAUAUACAAAUGAAUGUACGAAUAUUUGUAACAAUCGUAAUAGUAGUGAAAUUUAAUUUGUAUUG